rnacentral:rRNA from 1 species
CCUACGGGAGGCAGCAGUGGGGAAUAUUGGACAAUGGGCGAAAGCCUGAUCCAGCAAUGCCGCGUGAGUGAUGAAGGCCUUAGGGUUGUAAAGCUCUUUUACCAGGGAUGGUAAUGACAGUACCUGGAGAAUAAGCUCCGGCUAACUCCGUGCCAGCAGCCGCGGUAAUACGGAGGGAGCUAGCGUUGUUCGGAAUUACUGGGCGUAAAGCGUACGUAGGCGGUUAUUCAAGUCAGAGGUGAAAGCCUGGAGCUCAACUCCAGAACUGCCUUUGAAACUAGAUAGCUAGAAUCUUGGAGAGGUGAGUGGAAUUCCGAGUGUAGAGGUGAAAUUCGUAGAUAUUCGGAAGAACACCAGUGGCGAAGGCGACUCACUGGACAAGUAUUGACGCUGAGGUACGAAAGCGUGGGGAGCAAACAGGAUUAGAUACCCUGGUAGUCCACGCCGUAAACGAUGAUAACUAGCUGUUCGGGCUCUACGAGCUUGAGUGGCGCAGCUACGCAUUAAGUUAUCCGUCCGUCGGGAGGUACGGUCGCGAGAAUUAAACUUAAAUUAGUAAGUUAGACGGCGUGAGACGUCGCCGAACGGACGACGACGAGGGAGGUAGG